UCUCAAGACAGGUAGGGGACACAGAGAGAAGAGGAACACCUCACUCUGGGGAAAGCAGGCUAAGAAUUAAGAAAUUCUAUAUCUGAGCAGCAGGUUCUUAAACUACACCUGGACCACAGACACUCCGGGCCUCCAGCAACCAGUUUGCAGUGGCCACCAGGAGGCAACAGAGAGUCAUAGGCUCUGCGGCUUCCUAUGUGCUGACACAGCCAUCCUCUGUGUCAGCGACUCUGGGACAGACAGCCAGGAUGACCUGCGAGGGAAACAGCAUUGGAAACAAACUUGUAAACUGGUACCAACAGAGGCCACCUCAGGCCCCCAUGCUGGUCAUCUAUGAUGAUGACACCCAGCCCUCUGGGAUUCCUGACCGAUUCUCUGGUGCCAACUCAGGCAACACGGCCACACUGACCAUCACUGGCGCCCAGGCUGAGGACGAGGCUGACUAUUACUGUCAGAUUGAAGAGUCACAGAAUUCCAACAAUAUCGUGCUGUCGUACAUACAAGUGCUUUAAGUGAUGGUGACACUGUUCUGCUGCAAAGACCUGCCCCAACUAGUACAGUUAAACAUCCCAGCUAUAUUAAACUAUUUCUUUUCCUCUGGAACAUUCUCCCUGGAAGACCUGGGCAGAAGCCUAUGCCUCAUUAUUCACUGGCUCCACAAGAAGUUCCACUUUCUCUAAAGGAGGAAAAUCAGACUUUCCCUCAGUACAUGGCUUUUCUCAUGGAAAUGUGUACUCAGACUCUGAGAGAUUCAAUGAGAAGAGGGCUGGGUAACCUACAAGAUGGCUAAUCUUACCCACAGGCAGUGUUUUAAUGAACAGAGCAAUAAUCUAGACAAAGGGAACAUGAUAUGAAGCUACACAGGAACAGCAAGGAACUUAGCAGAGGAACUUGUUCACCUGGGUUAGAUGAGUGAGAUACUGCUGGAGCAUUUUCCAGCAACCUGUGUGUGCUGGGCACUGUGAAAGUAAGAACCGAGUAAGGAUCUCCUCCUUAGCAAAUAUUUACCAUCAUAUGAACCAGUGAAUUCAUUUCUCAACCCCUGGAUUUCAACUGACAAGAUUCCUGAAUUUAGAGGCAAAUGAAAGGAUAACUCCUCAUUAUGCAUGCUUUUUUCUUGCUGCUACUUCUCAUGCUCAGCUCCUCCCUGGAUGGAGAGGGUGAUCCUACUGUAGAUGGUUAGAUGAGCCAACUCCUGCCACCAAUCUGUGCUUCAACCAUCACAGAGCAGAUGCAACAGAUGGGGGUGAU